rnacentral:lncRNA from 1 species
CACAACCCGGGGAGCAUCCUUGACUCUUUCCCGGCACCCCACUUCCUGCAGUAAGUCGAUCCCAUUAAUUUGGCCUCCUUAGGGGUCUCAGGGGCUUAUAUCUACCCUUAUGUCCACCCGAUUACCAUGGCCUUCUUUCCAGCCCUUGUCAUUUCGCGUCUGCAUUUCCAAGAUGCCAUCAUAGUUAAUACCCAGAACAGAAGAAAACACUGGAGUUUGGUUAGAUUAAGUGCCUGCUGCAUAUGACGACAUUUGUUCGUACCAGGAUUUGAGCCAAGAUUACAUCGUUUCUUUGUUACUCACAACCGCACAUCGCCUGAGACCCUGCUAGAAAUGCUGAAUCUCAGGACCACCCCAGACCCAGGGAAUCAGAAUCUGCAUUUAACAACAUGCCCAGAUGACCCACGAGCUGGUGAAGCCCUGGGCCCUGGUCCUGGGUGGCUGCUGAGAGUAAUGCGUGCAGAUAAUUAACCCAGUGCUUCCUUCAUGUCCCUACUCUUUGCUUCCCUCUCAAAUGGACUUACCUGAGGUUUGAGGUGAGCAUUUUUCUUUUAAGACAGAAGCACUUCUAACCAAUGGCCACAUGUCUUUCUAACACAACUCAAGAAAGCUUUGGGGGCACAUGAGAAGAGAAGGUGGGGACUCAGGUCACACAGCCACUCCCUCUAGGUGCCAACUCCAAGCCUGGCUGUGCCCUGCGCUGGUUUCUACCUGUGCUAACAGGCAAGGACACACAAAAAAGUUACUUCCUAGAGGCUAGCUAAUGUGCAGGGAAAAGGUAGCCCUCCCCAUCAGUUUAUUGCAGAGUUAUAUUCCUGUACAGUCAUGAAAAACAGCAGUGGAGGGGCGCCUGGGUGGCUCUGUGGGUUAAGCAUCCGACUUCAGCUCAGGUCACAAUCUCACGGUUUGUGAGUUCGAAUCCCACACUGGGAUCUGUGCUAACAGCUCAGAGCCUGGAGCCUGCUUCGGAUUCUGUCUCCGUCUCUCUCUCUCUACCCCUCCCCCACUCGUGCUCUAUGUCUCUCUGUCUCUCAAAAAAAUAAACAUUAAACAAAUUUAAAAAAAAAAAAGAAAAGAAAAACAGAAGUGGAAAAUACAUAAGGCUCAAGUGCACAGUGAGUUGGCAAUGGAUGUAAUCACAAGACCCAAGAAUUCCUAGCUCUUAUUCUCUGGCUCCAGCAAUGGGAACACGCAUGUGAAAUCUUUUGUAACGAUUAUUAAGUCCUCCUUUACAAAAAUCUUUUUUCUUGGGGCGCCUGGGUGGUUCAGUGGGUUAAGCAGCCGACUUCGGCUCAGGUCAUGAUCUCGCGGUCCGUGGGUUCGAGCCCCGCGUCGGGCUCUGUGCUGACAGCUCAGAGCCUGGAGCCUGUUUCAGAUUCUGUGUCUCCCUCUCUCUGACCCUCCCCCGUUCAUGCUCUGUCUCUCUCUGUCUCAAAAAUAAAUAAACGUUAAAAAAAUUAAAAAAAAAAAACCAAAAAUCUUUUUUUCUUUUUAAUGUUUAUUUAUUUAUUUUGAGAGGGAGUGUGAGGGAGGGGCAGACUGAGAGAGAGAGAGAGAGAGAGAGAGAGUAUCCCAAGCAGGCUCUGCACUGUCCCCGUAGAGCCCGAUGCAGGACGAUUGAUUUUACAAUCGUGAGCCAAAAUCAGGAGCCGGACGCUCACCCUACUGAGCCACCUGGGCGCCCCUCAAAAAUCUUGCUCUGGGUACACUUGUCCCCAUGGGUACAAUCUGGCUCUGGGGACACCUGUCUGAGGCCAUGUGCAUGGGAGAGUCAUGAAUGCCACCUCAUCUGCUUGCAUAGGGGAGGUUUACUUUUUGCAUUUGCACUGACAUCCAUAACCCGUGCGUCACUCUCCUGUGACGCCCCAGAACUACAUCCAAAGACUGCUAUUGUCUUACUGCUUCAAUGAGAAAAUCCUUACCGUGGCUCUCUGAUUACCACAGAAGUGCUAAAUGGCCAUAUUGAUGAGUCUGGAGACGGAACCAGAAGUCUGGGGGCGAGGUGUCUGCAUUUCUGUUUUUAAGAGCAGAGAGUACAAUUUUUUAGCACUGAAUCCAAUCCCAUUAAAACGGGUUGUAAAAAAAAUAAAUAAAUAAAGUUCCCAUGCUGCUAAGCCGCUUUCAUGUGACAGCGGCCUCUCGGCACGCGGCGUAUAUGUUUCUGAUGUUUCGGUUCCAAAUCAAGCUGGCGCCCAGGUAGACCUCAGAUCUGCUGUCUUCACUUACGAGUCUUCCGAGAGAGACACCCGCCAACUCCAUCUCUCUCCGACUAAGAGACACUAGAGCCUUCAGAUGGGGAAAAGGGGAAGUUUAAUCAAGCACAGUUUCCUAAAUACCUGUGACUCAUCGCAAAGCCCACACCGCAGAGAACUGCCAGCGGGGACACACGACGCUGACCUACUUUGCCAGAAUAGGAUUUACUUUUCUUGGUGGGUGUGAAUCUUUCUUCUUUAUUAAGGGAGAGGAAUUUAAUGAACAUUAGUUCUUAAAUUAGUUCUUAAGGAAACCAGAGGCAGAUACCCUGAGGGUGGGGCCGAGUCUCCUUUCUCCUCCAGCUUCCCAGGCUGGCCCAGCCACCCGGCCUCCGCGGCAACCUUCAAACCCUUAUCUGUCCGCUGAAUGGCAGACUUCUUUAACCUUUGACCUAAAUUGUGUCUGAACCUUCAUCUUGAGGAAGUAAAGUUUUGAACAUUAAGCCACUGAAGACUUCAAAAGCCCCUGGAUUUAGGUCCCGUUCUUUAGCAAGAAUCCCAAUACCCUCGUCUUUGAGCAGCAAAUAAAGUAGAACCCGCUCGGCCCAGUGCUAGUAGUGAUGAGUAAGUGAUACGCUAGGGGAAGAAAUGCCUUCAGGAGGAGGGUACUCAGUUUGUUUAUUGGUUCGGUUUCUUCCUUCUAUUCACAGGAUAAAUGUGAACGUAGCUUAAGACUUUCAUUUCUGCCUCCCCGAGAGCCCUUUAUAGGCAUUUUAAAAGUAAGUCGUGGUAGUAUUUUAGGGUCCCCAUUUAAAACGUCCAAAAGUUGGAAUAUCUCACGAUCUUUUUCGAACAGGUUGCAUUUGAAGCAACAAUGGCUAUUUCAAUGGACUGCCCUCUAUACUCCCAGCGAAAUUCACGGGGGAUUUACACGUAACUGUAAACACACACCCAGAUGAGGAUACGCCUCAAAGAGAAUAUUGGAAGGGCAAAGUCAAUCUGAGAGGAUUAACAGCAAAAUAAAACCCAGAUUAAAUCAAAUGACCAAAGAAAAAUUAGUAGAACAAGAAAGAUUUUAAUGCUUGUACCAGGGAAAAUGCCGACCUCGGUGCAUUGAAAAACUAGGAAUACCCAGCAGACUUAAAUCAAACUCCAAAACUAACUCCGAUUCGUAUUUGAAAAUCUUUUGACUUGCUCUUGAAAAAAAAUAAUUUACAUUAGUUUUAUGUGUCCUGUCAGUUAAAGUAGCCGAAGCUGCCAAAACACUGUCAUUUCUUAUAACUGAUUACUCUCCCUUCCCAUGGCUGUCAUAUGUGUCUCAAGUGCAUUUGUCUUUGGAAUGUUGUUCCUUUAUUGCCUUUUGUGGGACCUGUCUUACUCUGGCAUUUUUACUGUGGUAGACACAUUGCUAUAUUACAGGAGGCCAAAGGUCAGCUACACAGCCAUCAAGUCGAAGAAUGAUUUUUUGGUUAAUAAAACUAAUUUUCUUAGCUGAGGGCUGCUUGCUGUGAGAAGAAGUUAUAUUUGCCAGGUCAUAUUUUCAGGAAAGUGAUAGAAUGCCAGCCAUUGAGCUAUAAUUUAUGGUGCUACCGUAGUUUGUCAGAAACAGAAUUUUGCUUUUUUAACAUGUGGAUGUUAAGUACGAUAGGAAAUCCGAGCUCAUGUGGUGGGUGGCAAGAUGAAGUAAAUAUGUGUUUGGGGAGAAUGUGUAACAAGCGUUAUUUUCCUCCUGGCUCAGAAAGCACCUAGACCGAAAGGACAGAGGUGGAGCGCUGAUUAAGAGCCAGGACUGGGAGCCAGAGAGAUGUGGAAUAAAAAAUUGCCUUAGCCAUCUGCAGUGACCAUAGACAACUUAAUUAACUUCUCUCAGCCUAGGCUUUUUCAUCCUUGAAAUGGGCAUAACAAGGGCGCCUGGGUGGCUCAGGGAGUUAAGUGUCCGACUCUUGAUUUCGGCUCAGGUCACCAUCUCGCGGUUCAUGGGUUUGAGUCCUGAGUCAGGCCCUGCACUGAAGGUGUGGCGCCUGCUUGGGAUUCUGCCUCCUUCUCUCUUUGAUUCUCUCUCUCAAAAAAAGGGGGGGGGUGGUGCAUAACAAUAAUACCUGCCUCCUAGAUUUAUUUGGAGGAUGAAUAGUGUAUGCGUAAAAGUGCUGAACUGUAUUUAGUGUAUCAGUCAGUCUAGGCUGUUUAUGCUACAUAACAAACUGCCCUAUAUUCUCAUGGGCUUAAAGCAACUAAUUAUUUCUAACUUAAUGCUACACAUCCAUGUAGGUUAGCAGGGCAAAGGUCCGCCCAUGAUAGUCAUUCAGGGAUAGUCAUUCAGGGAUGGAGCAGCCACCAUCUUGGACCUUGUUGGUCACAUGCAGAGGAGAAAAGACCUCUAGGGAUUUUAUGUCAGCCAUUCAACGUUCAGCCCACAAGUGACACUGAUCACUUCUCAUCAAACCUAUUGGCCUAGAAGCGGGGAAACACCCCCUUUCUUUAGGCAGAGACUUACCAGAUGAGAGAGGGCUCACACAUUAAGUCACUGUCCCUUUCAUUGUGAAUUCAGUGGCCACCUUGCCUUCAGUCACCUCUGUAGAACUCGAGGGAACAGAAUCUAGGUAAAAAAGGUCAGGCAACGAAGAAACAAUUGCCCUGAGACCUGAGUCAGGGGCAGGAUGAGAACAGCUGCCUCCAGAGUCUCAUCGGUGUCAGGAUCACAUCUAGAAGGACUCAAGGACGAGGCAGUUGUAAGAGAGGAGGCCCCUGGUGAUGUCCACACACCACAGCUGUGCCUGAAGCAAACUUUCUUUCACCAAUAGCCCUAUAGCAAUAAGCUCACAGGGCCAGUUUUUGAUAGGAGGAAAGGCAAGGGAAUGUUGCCUAAUUUGUGGCUGGGAGCAAGGUAGCAUCAGUAAGCAUCACCGUGUUCUCUUCAGAGCAGGAACAGUUGCCUCCAUUCUCAACUGUAAGUUUCUCUGCUUUGCUCCGGGAGGCAUCUGGAGGUGGCACGCAAUGGGGAGCCACACCAACAGCUAAUGUUAUUUGAACACUUACUUUGUACAAGCUCUGUAGCGGGCAUGUGUUAUUUUAAGUAAGCUCUGCACCCAAUGUGGGGCUUGAACUCACCACCUGAGAUCAAGAGUUGCAUGCUCUACUGACUAAGCCAGCCAGGUGCCCCGACACACAUUAUUUCAAUUAAUCAUUAGCAACCCUCUGAGGAGGGUAAAAAGUUGUUACCUUAACAUCUCAGAUGUGGAAGCAGAAAUUAAGAAUUAAGAAAAUUCAGACAGAGCCAAAAUUCGAACUUCACAUAUAUCUCAUUGUAACUCUAAUACUUUUAUUUUUUAACUGUUUUAAUCACUUCUCUCUCUCUUCUCUCCAUUUUUUGCCCUCUCUUCGUCUUCUCAAUUUAAUCACUGCUAGGGAAAAAUUUAAUGUUUAAGGAAAAGAGCAGACAGAAAAACAUGGCAUUUCUGUGUCCUUCUUGAUUUUGUCAUAUGCAUCUGCUCACAUGCUUUCCCUACUUAAACCCAUCUUUGACUCUCUAACACCUACAGAGAAAAGUCCAACCUCCCCAGUCUUGUUUUCCGAGAUCUUUAUAAUCUGAUGCCACAGCCUUUGCAGAUUUAUUUGGCUGCCACCACAUCUCCAAGCACAGCACCAGCUACCCAACUUCCUGUUAUUUCCCAAACACAACCUGUGCCUUCAUGUUUCUGUGCCUUUGCUCAUGCUGUUCCUUGUGCCUGGAAUUCUCUUUCCUUGUCCACUUGUUUGUUGAUUCCACAUAUGUUGAACUCCUCCUAUGGGCCAGAUUCUGGGGCUGGGAGGGGAGUAAAUCUGGGUGUCUGACCUCAACCAUCUCACAGUCUGAUGGGAUGCACUGAAAGAACAGUAAAUGAUAAUACAGUGGGGGUGGGCCCAUUAGGACAGCUCACUGAGGAGUACUAACUCAAAUUUCAGGGUGAGGAGCGAGGUGCAGGGAAUGAUAACUCACAUCAAGGGGCCUUUCACAGGAAGGAUGCCUGAGUUAGGGCUUGAAGAAUGUCCCUAGACAAGCAAGAGGGAAUGAGAGAACGCAUGAGUAUUUGAAACUGAUUUGAAACUUUCAAGAGCAGAUGAAGAAAGAAAGAGUAAGUUGGAGCGGUGACAGAUGAGGCCGGGAGGGUCUUCUGGGUCCUGGACAGGAUUUUGGACUUGUCACUUGAAAAAAAUGGACAGCUACUGAGGGAUUUCUGUACUUAAGCAGGGAAACAACAGCCGUGUUUGCAGCUUUGGUUAAAUCAAUUUGAAAAUUAGGUUGGAGAUGAUGCCAGAAAGUUAAAUAUUUCUAAGACUUGAAUAAAGCUGGUCAAAGUAAGAAAACACAUGAGAAAGCUCAUCACAUCCUCAAAGAAAUACAUUCCCUCCCAUUUUCUUGAAGACAUGGCCCCAUUCAUUAUCUUUCAUUUUUUGGUUUUUGAUAGAUACAACAAAUGAAUGAAAGAAACACUUGACUCUUCUUUUAGCCACAGGAGUUACCAAUAGCAAACACUUUGAUGAGUGGCAAUGCUUCACUUUCUUGCCUCAGUGGGGGAGAACGUGGGGCAGGGGCUGCAGUGAACUCUGGAGAGCAGGUGCCGUGGAAGGGGUACAGCCCCCGUUCAGCUCCAGCUGCCUGUUGCCGUGCAAGAGUAUAGGAAAAAUCUAGACCUCUGCUUUUUUCAAAGAAAUCUUGAAAUCAAAAUUUGAAGGUAAAGAUACGCUGAUUUAAAAAAAAAAAAAAAGCAGCAGCAUGCUGGUCAAACUAGGAUUGUAAGAUUAAGCACACACAAGUAUAUACAUAUAUAUAUACAUAUAUAUGUACGUACGUACAUAUGUACGUAUAUAUAUGUACGUACAUAUAUAUGUGUAUAUAUAUAUAUAUAUAUACACAUCAACAAGGCCCUAAUUAUAAGACAAAGAAGAAACAAAAAGAGAAUUACUUCAAUAGUUGCUUUGGUGGCACAAUUGACUGGCAAGGCAUUUGAGGGACAUGUGGCUGCCCCAGGUGCUGCAGGGUGUCUAGCUUCCCUGGACCGUGACAAUUAAAUGCUUGCACUGCCUCGCAAUCUAUGUGAUAACAAAAAGUAACCCCCCACCCCAGUCACCUUUCCCAAAUGCCCCCUAGGUGGGGUGCUGUCCCCAGUAAUGAACACCGGUUAGAGAAAGAUUGGCAGUCGUGGAGGGGACAGGCAGAGAAUGACACUUGAAGUUCGGGAGCACAGGUAGGAAGUGGCUGCUUUUAUCUAAGGGAGCAUUCAAAUAAGGAAGACCGGAGUAGGAUUUUGCUUCAAAAUCAAUGGAUUCCUUUUACUGAGUUUGGAAUUCCUGUGGAAGAUCUAAGGGGUACUGAGAGCUAGGCUAUGGAAUGUGUGCGUGUGGUAUUCUGAGGUCUAAGGUGGACACAGAAAUUUGGGAAUGGGCGGCAGAUCAUCUACACGUUAUGGAAGUCGUGGACUGGAGGGGAUCCCUCCCAGGGACACUGCAGAGUCUGAGGUGAUGUGGUCCACAGACGCAGCCCUGGAGAACACCAAAUUUCAGGAGAUGCCCAGCCUCCAUCACAGAGGUGUAAAGCAGUUUCCAGAAACAAAGUGGGGAAUCCAGAAGAAGGUGGUAUAAUAAAAAGGGAAGGCGGAGAGGUAAGUGGGCCAACCCUGCAGAGAAGAGGCAAACUCUACAGAGAGGGCAAACAAGAUCAAAGUUGAACACAUGUCCAAUCAGAAGAUCCCUGAUGGCCUGACUGACUACAGUUUUGGUGCAGUGCUAGGUGUGGAGGCCUACUUAGAGCUGACGAGGAAAUGCAGACAAAGUAUACAGACCACUCUUGGAAAUGUCUUGGCUGUGAAGGAGUAUGAGAUCUUAUUCACUUUUUUUUUUUAAGGUUUUAUUUUCUUAAGUAAUCUCUACACCCAACUUGGGGUUUGAAUUCACAACCCCAAGAUCAAGAGUUGUGUGCUCCACCCACUGAGCCAGCCAGGCUCCCCUAUCCUAUUUACCUUUUAAGACCCUCCUCAUACGAGGUCUCUGAAGUUUCUCUGGAUCUCUUAGGCUGCUUUUGCUGAUAAGUACCAGAAAACUGAAUUCAAACUGGCUUAAAAAGUAAAAUCCAAUAGUGGCUUUGGGCUACUGAAAAAAGUCCAGGGUGGACUUCAGGCAUAGUUUGAUCAGGCUUUGGAUCCAAUUCUCUCAGUUCUUGCCCUUUCUGACUUUCCUAUUUUAUUUGUUUAUUAAAAAAAAUAUUUAUUGGGCACCUACAGCAUGCCAGGAACUUUCUCGGUUCUUGGGACACAACAGUAAGCAAAACUAAAUAAAGAUCCCUGCUCUUCUGAAGCAUAUAUUCAAAUGGGAGAAGAUAAACAUUAAAAAUAUAUACGUAUAUAUAUAUAUAUAUUUGUUUAUAUUUUAUAUGUAAACUUUACACAUAUGUAAUUCAUAUAGCAUGUUAAAUGAUGAUGAAGUCCAUGGAGAAAGAAAAACAUAGUGCAGAGUGAAGAGGAUGGAGAGUGUAGGAAGGGGGUGGGGGGUUGACGUUUAUGUUGGUGAUCAGGGAGCCUUCAUCCAGAAAAUGGUAUUUGAGCAAAGACAUGAGGAUGUGAAAGAGAGACAUGUGAAUGGCUUAGGGAAGAGUGUUCCGGGCAGAAGACACAACCAGCACAAAGGUCCUGAGCAGGAAUAUUCCCAGCAUGUUUAAACAGCAUCAGAGGACCAGUGUAGCUGGAAUGGAGGGAAUAAGGGAUUAGCAGCUGGAUAUUACAUCACGGAAGUAUCGGAGGGCCAAGUCAUAAGGGCCACUAUAAAGACUCUGGCUUUUCAUCUGCAGGGUUUUGAAUCAAAGAGUAAAUGAUCCAAGUCAGGUUUGAUAGGAUCUCUGUGGCUGCUGCUUUGAAGGCAGACUGUAGGGGCGUGGGGAUGGAAUCUGGGAAAUCAGUAGACUCAAAAAAGUCUACUAAAAUAAUACAGGCAAGAGAUAAUAUGGCUGGACCAGGGUGGUCACAAGGGGAGUGAUGAGGCAUGGUGGGAUUCUGGAAAGCGUCCGAGUGUAGGGCUAACAAGAUUUCCUGACAGAUAGGAGGUGAGAGAUGAAAGAAGAGUCCGGAAUGUCUCCAAGAUUUGGGCCUAAACCAUCGAGAUGGGGAGGGCCCUAGAUAGAGCAGGUUUGGGGAGGAAGAUCCUGGCAUAGGUUUUGGACAUGUGGACUCUUAGAAGUCUCUCAACACCCAGGUGAAGAAGUUGAGUAGGCAGAGGGAUCUGAGUCUACCUUUGGGAGAGUAGUCUAGACUGGCAAGAUACAUUUCAGAAUUGUUGGUGUACAGAUAAUAUUUAAAGCCUUCCAACGGGAUGUAAGGAUCUUUGUACCAGUCCCUACGACCAAUGAAAAUAAUAGCGUCCAUUUUUGAGCUAAUCGCCUGAAGGGGUCUGGGAGUGGGUUAUACUUGUGAAGACUCAGCCCUGGAGCCAAAGUGGAGAUAAUCCUUAUAAUCCCACCCAAAGGAAAAAUUAAAUAUUUGGAAGCAGGCAAUAAAGUGAGUCUAUGACCUUUCUACACAUCCUCUAGGAGGAAUUGAUCAUUUGCUCUCACAUACUCUGGGAGCCUUUUCCAUAGUGAUAAUUUUAUAGUUAUUAUGUUGCGACACAGUUGGCUAUCUUAUUUACUGAUUUCUUCUCAGAUUGUUAGGUCCUUGAAGAGGAAACAUGUGGUAUUCAUGUUUGAACCCCAGGGCCUAGCCCAAGCGAUCACAUGUUGAAGUGAGUUAACUAUGAACAUGUGAAAGUAUGUAGAUUUUUGGUCUUUCUAUGAAGCCUCCAGGGUGAUCAAAAGCCUUAAAAGGGAAAAUUUUUUUUUUUUAAUUUUUUUUUUCAACGUUUAUUUAUUUUUGGGACAGAGAGAGACAGAGCAUGAACGGGCGAGGGGCAGAGAGAGAGGGAGACACAGAAUCGGAAACAGGCUCCAGGCUCUGAGCCAUCAGCCCAGAGUCUGACGCGGGGCUCGAACUCACGGACCGCGAGAUCGUGACCUGGCUGAAGUCGGACGCUUAACCGACUGCGCCACCCAGGCGCCCCAAGGGAAAAAUUUUAAACUUAGAAGAGCCUGAUCCAUCUGUUACAUAAGCACAGGGACCCUCACCUGGUUAAAUUGCUUUUAUGAAGCUAUUUCUUAAUGAAUAUGGCUGCCAACACAAUUCAUUCUUUUUUUUUUUUUUUUUUAACGUUUUUUUUUUUUUUCAACGUUUAUUUAUUUUUGGGACAGAGAGAGACAGAGCAUGAACGGGGGAGGGGCAGAGAGAGGGAGACACAGAAUCGGAAGCAGGCUCCAGGCUCUGAGCCAUCAGCCCAGAGCCUGACGCGGGGCUCGAACUCACGGACCGCGAGAUCGUGACCUGGCUGAAGUCGGACGCUUAACCGACUGCGCCACCCAGGCGCCCCACAAUUCAUUCUUUAGAUAGCUCUGAGACAGAGAAAUCUGAAAGAGAUUUUUGGUAAUUGAAUACACACACAUAGCUAAUGGCUGAGAGUUCAUGAAAAGUACCUAAUAUCUAAAGGACCUAUAAUCAUUGGAGAGAGAGAGAGAGAGAGAGAGAUUGCUCGUGAGUACUGAUUAAAACUUAAAUGAUAGGGGCACCUGGGUGGCUCAGUCGGUUGAGCAUCUGACUUCGGCUCAGGUCAUGAUGUCACAGUUUGUGAGUUCGAGCCCCGUGUCGGGCUCUGUGCUGAGAGCUCAGAGCCUGGAGCCUGCUUCAAGUUCUGUGUCUCCCUCUCUCCCUGCCCCUCCCCGCCCCUACUCAUACUCUGCAUUCUCUCUCUCUCAAAAAUAAAUAAAUAUUACCAAAAGAAAAAUUUUUUUAAAAGAAAAAACUUAAAUGAUAAUAUAGUUGGCCAAAGACAGUGCACAAAGAAAGUAAACUCUUUAGAAGGAAAUCAAAUAGAUAGGCAUAUGCUCAUAUAAGCUUUUUCUCUUUUUGCAGCUCUGAUUUUUUUGUUGGUUAUGAUUUGUGCCACGGAAUAUCUGAAUCUAUACAGUGAAUUGUAUGAUUAUGGAAUUCUAGUUAACUCUGCGCUUGGUCACAUGUAAAGCAACUUAGACUUUCUUAGAAGAGAAUAAAUGAGCCAAAAUAUUUUUCUGUCCAGUAUUUAAGUGGGAAAAAAAAUGACAAAAUGUAAACAUCCAAAAUAUUAUAAAGUAUAUUAUAUCCAUUCAAUCUAUCACUGACUUCACACUUUUUGGAAAGGGUUUCCAUUGUUAUCUCCUCCCGCAGACAUAUUAGGAUAUAUUUGUCUACAUGGGCAUUUUCAGAAAUUUAAGCGCUACUAUAACUUCUUUAAAUUACAAAAGACCCCAAAGGUUUACUUGUUUGCUUGUUUGUUUUUAAAAUUUUUUUUUUCAACGUUUAUUUAUUUUUGGGACAGAGAGAGACAGAGCAUGAACGGGGGAGGAGCAGAGAGAGAGGGAGACACAGAAUCGGAAACAGGCUCCAGGCUCUGAGCCAUCAGCCCAGAGCCCGACGCGGGGCUCGAACUCACAGACCUCGAGAUCGUGACCUGGCUGAAGUCGGACGCUUAACCGACUGCGCCACCCAGGUGCCCCUGCUUGUUUGUUUUUAGAAGAUAAUGGGAGGACACUGAAGCGGUCCCUUUGAAUACAGAAGGCAUUUGAUGCAACGAAAUAUUUGAUCCUUAUCGAAUCAAUUGUCAGUAUUUAAAAUUUCUCUUUGAAGGCAAAUUCUUUGGUCCUUAUAAAAAGCAUUGAUCAUAAGGACUAAGACAAAUGCCAGUCACCGCUAUGGAAUCUGUCAGCUCAACCUGUACACAGUGCUUCACAGUUCUUGGAUUACUAAGCAAGUUACCAAUUUUGUCAGGCUAGACUCUCUUCACAGUGAAAUAAAAAGGAGGGCGCAUCUGAAAGGCCAGAUAGUGUAAUGAGUAAGGCAUUUGGUAAAUGAGAGCAAUUAAAAAUCAAAAACAGCUCACAUCUGAAAAAAACAGAUAAUAGAGCAGGUAAGACACUCAGUAAAUAGAACCCAAUAAUGAUGUUGUAAACCUCACCCUGAGGCUACCCAGGGUGCAACUCUACUCAAGUGAUUCUUCUUCCCCCUUUACUAGGUCUAUUCCAGAUUUUUGAAAAAUCGAAGUAAACUCCAAAGGUCACAAAGAUGUUCCCUUGUAGUGUUCUCCUGACUGGAAGUGCAGUGAGAUGGGCAGGUAUAUGUACUUUGGGGUUCGUGUUAGAGGGAAGGGGACCUUCCCUUAGCAGCUUUGAGGCGGGGACCCGGGAAAGUGGAACUGUGCCGGCCAGGAGUUUAGACGGAGAGAUUGCAAGGCGGGUGCAAUGGGAGGGCUCAUGUUCUCCCACGCAGUGCUCUUUCUCGCUGUUUGGUGGUGGCGAUGGGGCUCCCUCAUUCUCUGUUCACUGGCCGUGCUAGCACAUCUCCUUCCUUUUGCCCUUGAAAAUGGCAUUAAAUGAUUCCAGGCGUGUGCGUUUGAGAAAGCCAGCGCAACAUCCUAUUAAUCCGCUGAGCCACUUCAACAACUUGAAACUGAUCAGAGCACGGCUGAUGACCGCGUUGGUCAGUUGGCGAGAGCUUUACGCGAAGGCCGUGGGAGUCAAUCCAUUUAAGGGAUCUUCCCUUCUGUGGUCACCCAGACCACCUCUGCCCAACAGCUCGGCAGCCUCCGUGUGGCCCAUUGUCGCCAUCCUUCCGGGACGCGGGGGCAGUUUGGGGGCGAGGGAGAUCGUUGCCUUCUUCUCCCUCCAGGGAGCAACGUCCCUUCAUAAGGAUUCUUUUUCCCAGCAAGCAAAGAUGACCUGGAAAUUUGAUAGUGCCAGAGUUACAAACUAUACUUUCUCAAGGGAGAAAUAUUACCUUAUAGAAACCAGCUUUUAUCCUGCUGAGAACCUGUACUGUGCUGCGGGGAUUGUCUCUUAUUACAGCUGUGAGAGCCGGGGGAAGCACGUACAGCUCUCGUCCGCACACCGACCGAAAAGACUGCUGGAAUCGCGGAUGACCCUGAAAAGAAACUGCGGAGUCACUUACGGGAGGGGGUGGGGGGAGGUGGGGAAAGACAAAAAUGCCAACGUAAGCCAGUACAUUCCGCGUGCAGAUUGAGCCUGAAUACUCUUAGGCACACCAGGAGGAAACUUCUCAAGGUUUCGAAACUUCUAGGUGACGGUGGAGUUCUUGGCUAACUUCCUAGAGCAUUAUUUGGCAUUAUAAAUGUCCUUCGAGUCCAUGCAGUCCUGUAAGAACAACAAAUGGUUAUGGGGAUUUUCGUAUGUAAUCUGCAGGGGAGCUAUUGUAUGCCAUUUCUCAAUGAAAACAAUCUCUUAUCGUAUAAAAUUCAUUAGAGAAGAUUGAGAAAUAAUUUUAUAACAAAAAGGUAUUCAGUCCGUCGGUUAAAUAAUACUCAGCGAGCACUUACCAUAAUACUCAGCUCAGGCACUGUAGAAGGGUUGGGAUUAUGUACUGCAGACAUGGUCCCUGCCCUCAUGACGCUUACACUUUAGUGGGCAGGAUGGGUACAGAGCAAGUGACCUGAGUGAGCCAUGCCUAACAAAUGUCUGGUUAGACUUUACUUUUUUAAAGCUUUAUUUAUUCAUUUUGAGAGAGAGAGAGAGAGAGAGAGAGCACGAAUAGGGGAGGGGCAGAGAGAGAGGGAGAGAGGGAGAAACCCAAGCAGGCUCCACCAUUCACUGCAGAGCCAGGCAUGGGACUCCAACCCACGAGCCAUGAGAUCAUGACCUGAGCUGAAACCAAGAGUCAGAUGCUCAACCCACUGAGCCACCCUGGUGCUCCUGUCAGGUUAGACUUUACAGUCUCCCAGCUCAGAGGUAACUAAGGACAUCCCUUUGUAAGAUUUAGACAUCGAGUAUACUAGAAAGAAUGCAAUCUUAAAAAUACUCAUGGUACCUCCUUUCCUACUAAGCUGCCCUUUGCUCGGGUAGGAAGUUGGAUGAUAUUUAUUUCUUCGUAGGGAAUCUCAAGUUCUCAUUCUUACACAACACAAUACAGUGAACUUGUCCUGUGUCUUCAGAGGCUGUUGCUUUCUUUUUUGGCUUUUCAGACAUAUUUAUUCCCACAUCUUCCCCAAAUCUGUUUUUUUUUUUUUCAGAAGUUUUAUUUAUUAAAGUAAUCUCUAUCACCCAACAUGGGGCUUGAACCCAUGACCCUGAGAUUAAGAACUGCAUGCUCCACCAGCUGAGCCAGGCAGGCGCCCCUCCACAUCCAUUUUUACUGUAUGAUUUUCUUUCUCAUUUUUGAAAACUAUGUAUAACUAACUAUACAGGUUAAACUAGGAAUCCCCAAGUAUCUGUCUGUCUCAGUCAGAGAUAUAAGACCUAACUUCCUAAAUGAUGAUAAAUGUUCACAUUGGCAAACUCGGGCAAUAUCUAUUUGUACCAAAACUGUGAGUGGGAACAUUUUUUCUUGAAUUUUAGAAUUUUAUUGUUUAAUUACAGAUCUUUUCAAAUAUACACGGAAGUGGCGAGGACAGUCUACGAACUCCUGUGCCCUCAUCAUUGAGCUUCAAUCACUUUGUCAGUUUUAUUUCAUCAAUGUAGCUUCCUCCACCACACAUAGACGCUUUUUAAAAUUUAUUUCUGGAGUAUUUAUUUAUUUAUUUAUUUUUAGGUAAUCUCUACACCCAAGGUGGGGCUAGAACUCAUGACUCUGAGAUCAAGAGUCACAUGUUCUACCAGCUGCCAGGCACCCUGCGUUCUGAAGUCUUUAAAAUCAAAUUUCAGACAGAAUGUCACAAAUACUUCACUAUUCACAUCUAAUAGGUAAGGAGACUUUAAAUAUAACAGGCCAUUUCUACAACUAACAAAAUUAACAAAAAUUCUUUGGUAUUGGGUAACACGACCCCUAACCAAGUUCCCCUGACUGAUCUAAAAAAUGACUUUUUAUUGGUUAUUCAAAUCAGAAACCAAAAAUGGAACGUACAGCAUACUUCGCUGUUAUAUUUCUCAAUUUUCUUUUAAUCUGUAGCGCAUCCCUUCCCCUUUUAUUCUUACCAUUUAGAUUUUGAAAGGACCAGGUCAUUGACCCUGUUGAUUUCCCCAAAUUCUGGACUUGGCUCUUAGCUUCUUCCUGGCACUGUUCAGCUUAUUCUUCUAUCCCCCUCUAUCUUCUGUAAACGAGUACAUCUAUAAGCUCAAUUAAAUUUACAUUUGUCCUUCCCUCCCUCCCUCCCUCUUUCCCUCCCUUUCCUUCCUUCCUCCCUUGGCAAGAAUAUUUAUGGGUGGUGCUAGGUACCUCCUACUGCACUACCUCAAGAGACACUUGGUAUGUAGUUUCCCCCUUUUUGUGAUGCUGAGGUUAAUCUGAGGGCCCAAGUUUUCUCAGACAGAUACUUCCAUCUUGGUCAGGUUUUAGAAUUACAUUGUCACGUAAUAUAAUAGCAUCAUGAAACACAUUGGGGGGAUUUUUAUCUUUUAUUAUCUAAAAUAGUGAAAAUGAUAUCGCUUCAAAGAUUAGGUUGAACUCAGCUAUAAAAUCAUAUGAAUAUAUUUUUUAAAUGAUAGAGCUUCAGCUGUAAAGUCACCUGACAGUUUUUUUAAAAAACCAGUAGAUCUUAUGGCCACCUGGGUGGCUAAGUCAGUUAAGCGUCUGACUCUUGAUUUCGGCUCAGGUCAUGAUCUCACAGUUCAUGAGUUUGAGCCCCAAGUCGGGCUCUGUGCCGACAGCAUGGAGCCUGCUUGGGAUUCUGUCUCUCCCUCUUUCUGCCCUCCACCCCAAAAUAAAGAAAUAAACUUAAAAAAAUAAAAACAAAAACUAAUAAAUCUUCAAUCACCUUUGUAAUCUUUUAUAAGGUGAUUAUUCUUUCCAAGUUUUUCAUUAUGUCUUGGGUCAAUUUUGUAAUUUAUUUUGUUAUUAAAUCAUCUGUUUCUUCCAGAUUAUCAAACUGUUGCCACAGGGUUUCCCAAUGUACAUCUUUUAAUUAUUUUCACCUCUUGUAUAUUUGUGAUUGUGAACUUAUUCUUAAUCUUGCAUAUUUCCUAUUUUUCUUACUCCAGUAAUAAUUUACUGAUUUUAUUGCUCUUGUCAUAACAUCAUUUUUUCUUCUUCUUCUAGUUUUCUGUUUUCUAUUUUAUCAAUUUUAUGUUUUGUCUUUUUAAAUCCCUACUGCAUACUUUCUUUGAUUUAUUUCUUUUUACUAAUUAUUUAGAUGAAUAUAUUAAUUUGCUAGGGCCUCUAUAACAAAAUAGAGUGGGUGGCUGAAACAGCAGAAAUGUAUGCUCUUAUGAGGCGAGAAGUCCAAGAUCAAGAUGUUGGCAGGUUUGAUUUUUUCCAGGACCUCUCUCCUUGGCUUCUCAUCAUGGCCUCACAAGGUCUUUUGCAGCAUGUAUGGCUCCCUUGUGUCUCUUUGUAUGUCCAAAUUUCUUCUUCUUAUAGGGACUCCAGUCAUAUUGGAUUAGAGCCCACCCUUUUGACUUCACUGUACCCCAAUGACCUCUUUCUUUUUUAAAUAAUUUAUUGUCAUGUCAGCUAACAUACAGUGUAUAGAGUGUAGUCUUGGCUUCGAGAGUAGAUUCCUGUGAUUCAUCCCCUACAUACAACACCCAUUGUAAAGUCCCUGUCUCCAAUACAGUAUGGGGGUUAGGACUUCAACAUAUGAAUUUUGGGUGGAUGCAAUUCAGGCCAUAACAGUGAGUUUAAAUUAUUUUCAAUUUUCUUCAAAUAUAGUUAAGCUGUUUUAAUAUAAAGUAUGUAAUGUGAAUUAUUCUUUCCAUGCUUUCUAGAUAGCAUGCAAUGUCAGUUUUAAAUUUCUUUGAUUUGGAGGCUAUUUAGGUAAAUAUUUCUUAACUUCCAAACUUCAAGAUGAUUUUAGUCAUUAGUUUGUUAUUUCUUUGUAAUUUUCUUGUGGUCUGUGAAUACUCUUACCUAAGUUUUAGGGAUUUUUUCUUUUGUAGUCAAAUGUAUCAUCAUUUUUACACAUUUUAUAAUCAUAAAAAAUACAUACUCUGUAUUGGCAGGAUACAAAUUGUACACAAUUUUAGUAAGUCUGCUUUAUUGCUUUUAUUAUUUAAUUUCUCUGUGUCUUUACUUAUCCUUUUGUGUAUCUUUCCACUUCUAAAAGUGACAUUUUUUUAAUUGCAACUCUAACAAUGAAAUAUUAUUCAACCUUGAAAGAAAGGAAAUUCUGACAUAUGUUACAAUGUGGAUUAACUUUAAAGACAUUAUGCUGAGUGAAAUAAGCAAGGAGAAAGAGGGGAAAGAGGGGAAAGAGGGGAGAGAGGGAGAGGAAGAGGAAGGCUUAUUACUAAGUUUAUUAUUCCGACAAUAGUAAGCUUUUUAUUAAAGGGACCAUGCCCAAAUUUCAGAAUUAGUUUAUGCUCUGAAUAACAUUGGUGGUUAUUUGCCUUCUUGUUCAUUUAUGUGUCUGGCUGUGACUUUAGAUAAAGAAAUGGAUCACCCACAUGAUGAAGUACAAUAAAAAUAAUGUUAUUAAAAAGUCCAAGAGAGCAACCUAGAUUUUGUUUUCUCUUUAAGAGUCACAGAUUUUGCCUAAGACCAGAAAAUUAUACACAUUAGCUUUCUACAUGGGAACCUAAACGAAAUAUUGAAUUUUUAAAAAAUCUUAGAGCUUUAAAAUUUCUGUAAAGAUCCUGGUUUUCCCAUUUCUGGAAAAAUUAUAUUGCUAAAAAUUAUUUGGAAAGACUCAGACUUUGUGCAAUUUUACUGUAAUGAAUGGAAAAUUAUAUAAUUUUGCACUGCAAUUGACUUUGACAAUGAGUAAGAUAUAUUUUCCCCCAUAAUAUCUGUAUUGAGCUUUUUAUUUCUAUUUCUUAUACUGAUUGACUACUUUUUCUAUUUUGAGGGAGUUUAUUAUUUAAAGAAAUAUAUGGAUAUACUCUACUCUUAAGUUUAGAUCAUUUUCCACGAAAAAAUAUGUACAGUAGAAUUUAGAAAUCCAGAGGAGAUAAUGCCAGUAGCCAGGAUAUUUUUAAUUCAUAUGCUUGCAGAUAUUAUGCAGUUCCUAAGAUUUGGGGAAAGCUUAAAGCAAGCCAACAUUAAGAAACAAGUGUUGGGGUACCCAGAGUAAGGAUUGAUUGGAUUGUGCUCUACACAGACAUAUAUUGUCUGGCAUAUUAGGAAAUGCUUUGCUACUAGAUCAUGUUUAAACAAACAUUUAUUUUAGCAAAAGUUUACAUCGGGGUUGUGCAAACUUUUCUAUAAAGAGCAAAAUGGUAUCUAUUUUAGGCUUUGUAGGGCCAUAUGACCUUUGUUGCAACUACUGAACUCUACCAUUGUGGUGGAAAAGCAGCCAUAGACAACACAUAAAUAAGUGAACAUGGCUGUGUUCCAAUAAAACUUGUAUUUAUAAAAACAGGUAGCAGACCAGAUUUGAUCCCCAUCCCAUAGUCUGCUAAUCCCUGACCGAGGUGAUCAUUUGUCAAUUACUAAAACUGAACAAGGCAACUUUGGGGAGUAUCUCUUCCUCCCAAGAAAAUUUCAAGAACCUUUUCAGUCCAUCUCUUCAUCAGCUUAAUGCUUUUAAUUUUAUACCUAUGAAUAGUUUAGACUUAUUUCAGCUGCCAUGUAAAAAUGUAUUAGCCCUGGCAGUAGAAUGUUUGGAAAUGCAUAUAACAGUUUUACUGGGGCUAAUUAGAAAUCCUCCGAAUGCUGGCGCAAUGGCAGGCAAGCAGUGCUUCUUUCUCUAAGGGCUGAGUUUUAUCUCCUGGGGCCCCACUUUUGAGUUUCUGAGUUUUAUUAAUUCCAGUCCUUUCCUUUUAUUUCCGCAGCCCUAGCCGUGGUCACUGCUUCCUGCAGUUGCUAUGUCGGUGAGAGCAUACAGUUCUCUCAACUCUCUCUUUUUUAGCCUGUUUAGUUACCAAGUUGAUAAUUUUGUAUAGCCAACAAUUCUUUGGAUGAAUUUCUCUGCGUUCAAAUACUGAUGUGGUUUGUCUCCUAAGUGGACCCUGGCUGACACAUCUGAAAUGAAACUCAAUUCAGUUAUUAGAAAAUGAUUAACUAUUUUUGGAACACAUUGGGUAUAUAAAAAAUCAUAAAAAUAUAAUUGAUAACAUAUAAAAAAUACAAAUCAAAUAUACAUUUUGUGAAAGCGAAAUACAGAUCAAAUAUUUCCAGUUAAAUUAGUGUCCAAGUUUAGAUGUACUAUAAAUGUAAAAAGAAUAUAAACUAUGUCCUCAAUAAUUUUUAUAGUGAUAACAUGUUAAAAUGAUAACAUUUUGAAUAUAUUAGGUCAAAUAAAAUAUACUGUUAAAAUUGCUUUCAUCUUUCCUUUUUACUUUUUUAAUGUGGCUACUAGAAAAGUUUAAAUUACGUAUUUGGCUCUCUUAUUUUAACUGGACAGUGCUGUUCUAGGUUUUUUUUUUUUCCUACAUUAUUAUCAUGUUUUACAUGAGGAUCAGAAUCCAAGGGAGGGCAAAAGGACUGCAGAAGACUGAGAGAGGAAGAAAGGGAAAUUUUUUUAUCUUCAUUUUUAAAUACACCUUCAGGUCAAAAUGCUUGAGCCUGGUUUUCAAGAAUAAAUUACAUUUCAACAUAUUACAGGGGGCCAUCCAAAUUUUCCUUUUGUACAAUAAUUUAAUUCCAUUUGAUAUUGUUUGCAAUAUCUGAGCCAUUGGCUAGAGUUCCCUUAAAUAUUUUUCAAUUAAAUAGAUUAAUUCUGCAACAGGAUUAGACUGUAUAGGCCUUUGGCAAAAGAAAAAAAAUUUUUUUUUUCUGUUCAACAUUUUUUAAAAGUAUAUCCUGGUUUGUAAGAAAAAAAAUUCGUACUUUCAAUGUAACAAACCCAAAUAUAUAAAUGACGUAAGUACUGUGAUCAAGCCGGAUUCAUUGCUAAUCAUUCCACUAAAGAAAUGAAUUUAAAUUUUGAGUAGAAUUUCAAUAGCUUUUUUGUUAGUUUAUUUAUUUAGAGAGAGUGGGGGAGGGGCAGAGAGCGAGAGAGAGACAGAGAGAAAGCAUCCCAAGCAGACUCUGCACUGUCAGUGCAGAGCCCCAAGUUAAGCUCCAGCUCAUGCUUGGUGAGAUCAUGACCUGAGCCAAAACCAAGAGUCAGACACUUAAUCAACUGAGCCAUCCAGGCGCCCCUGAAGAGCUUUGAACACAGAAGUCAGUGGUGUCAAACAUAAUCAGUUUAGAGCCUCAAGUAGUAUGUUACCUCACAAGUCAGGGUGUGACCCUGAAAAUGGGGCUAUAACUGGAACUCAACUUUUUCUCCUGGAAUUUGGGACUGAGACCUAGCCUUUCCAAACCGGGUGUGAACCAAUAGGACUGAGCUGAAUGCUGUCUUCGUCGAGUGUCGUUCUUGUUGGUCCACAAUCCUUCUUUCUAUUGGGAACUGCUCUUGCUCUUUCCCUUGGUUCUGGAGGUAGAGUUAUCAGCUAAAAUACAGAAUCCCUAGAUAAAUGUGAAUUGCAGAUAAGUGAAGAAUAAUAAAUAAAUGGAGCAAUCUUAUCUGCCAAUCAGAAUGUCCACCUGGCUUCAUAUAGGUGGGUACAUGACCCAGAACUGACCAAUCACAGCAUCCCUAAUCCCCCUGUUCACAUUGAUUGGUCUAAUGCAUAAGCUUUGUCCCAGGUAGGGCCAAUCAGAACCUCUCCAUGUGAUUUGAUACAAAGAGGCUGGGGAAGUGAUGGUCUCUUUUCCAUGUUGGUUGCAUGCUGCAAGGAUGUGAGCCUUGUGGGCAACCGCUGUGCUUCCUACCAUUUGAACACAGCCCGCCUGUAGUAAGAGAAUAGAAGGGUAACUAAGAAGAAUCAAGAGAUAAAGACAGAUGGGCGGUACUCUGACAACUGUUUGGAGGUAUUCUUGGUGUUUUAUGCCAAGGUUUGAUAGUGAUUAAGUGCUCAUUCCCUACCUAUAUUAAACUAACCCAAUUGCAAGUUCUUACCGUAUACUAUGUGUUAAAUUAAGCCGGCAGCUUGGCCACAAUGCCAUGGUAAACAUUUGUCUUCUUAUGUGUUUGGCAUUCUUUCUCUAGAGUUCAUUGGGCAGGAUGGUGGCGUCCAGCUGUGAUACAGAUCAGAGCACCUCUUCUCUGAUAGCAAAUAUAGGGCACUGUUGCCACGAACACUUUGAAAGCACGGACCCGGGUUUCCUUUCCUUUUAAAGAGUACUUACAAGAAGGCAGGGUGUUUUUUAUUUCCAACUCCAACUCCAGCACCAUUCCAUUCAUUUUCUGAGAUGGCUCUGUCCUUAAUUAGGCAGAGCUUGCCAACAUUAAUUUUGUGGGCAUCUGUUUCUAGGAUCGUCAAGGCACAAGGCUUCUAGUAUUGCCUUCAGAGAAUAAAGUGGCCCCCUCACUCUGUCCAUGGAAGUGCAGUGUGGUGGGAAAAGGUUGGAAGGCAGGAUUGGCUGCUUAAUCUGUGGGACCCAAUACAAAUAUAUAUAUGUAGUCCCUUCUUCAAAGAUGCUUAAGAAUUUCAAGAUGGCAACAGCAGGGCACUAAACAAGCACUGAGUCCUUCUAAGCACAGGGUUGAAGACCUAUGUGGCCAGCCCAACCUGAGGGUCAUAUUUUUUUUUUUUUAAUUUUUUUUUAACGUUUAUUUAUUUUUGAGACAGAGAGAGUCAGAGCAUGAACGGGGGAGGGUCAGAGAGAGGGAGACACAGAAUCUGAAACAGGCUCCAGGCUCUGAGCUGUCAGCACAGAGCCCGAUGCAGGGCUAGAACUCACGGACCGCGGAGCCAAAGUCGGCACUUAACUGACUGAGCCACCCAGGCACCCCCUGAGGGUCAUAUUUAAUCUCUUGAUGCCUUAAUGUCCCCAUCUGUAAAAUGGAAGGCAAAAUUGGCUGUGUGCUAUAACAAAUAUUAAAUGAGUUAUUUGUUAAACUUGUGAAGCUCCAGGCACACAGUGGUUCUCAGUAAACUAAGUAACUACCGUCCUGACUCCAUUGUAUGUGGGAGCCAAGAGUGAAGUCUCUGGAGUCAGUCCGACAUAGACUCAAAACCUGGCUAGACGGAUUCCUGUGGCCAAUUACCUAGUGACUCGAAAGCUGGGAUUCCUUACUUACAAAGAGGAGAUAAUAUAUGCAAGUACUUGUAAACGGUUAGUUUGAGGAUUAGGCGAAAUAAUGCAUUUAAAGCAUUUAGCACAGUUCCUGGCACACAGGGCUCACUAAAAUGCUAGCUAUUAUGGCUCUGUGCCCUGCCCUAUGCUGGAUAUUUUGCAUAUACUAUCUCAUUUCAUCCUUACAACACCUGGAAACUUACAUAUUGUUACCUUCAGUAGAUUUAGACUGGGGAGGUGGAGUGCAUUUCAACUGUUACUAUGUGGGAGUCUAGAGUUGAGAUUCCGGGUCUCUCUCAUUCUGAAAACUAGGCAAACUGCCUUUGGCUCUGUAGUCCUUCUUCUUGCCAUUCAUUCUCAAAUCCUCAAUGUCGGUCUGUCUUCCUGGAGCUGCCAGGGAUGCGGGAGUUUUUAAAGAUUCAUAUAUUUGAGGGGCGCCUGGGUGGCUCGGUCGGUUAAGCAUCCGACUUCAUUCAGCUCAGGUCAUGAUCUCCUGGUUUGUGAGUUUGAGCCCCAUGUCGGGUUCUGUGCUGCCAGCUCAGAGCCUGGAACCUUCUUCGGAUUCUGUGUCUCCCUCUCUGUCCCGGACCCUCCCCCACUCACACUCUGUCUCUCAAAAAUGAAUACACGUUAAAAAAAAUUAAUAUAUUUGAAAGGCCCUUGUAAGAUGCUUCUGUAUGCAACUGUCUGUCUUAGUCUUCACCUAUCUAUCUUAUGAAAAGCCAAGAAAGGCUGGCCACAAAAGCACUGACAGAUGUAACCAGACAUGAAUUCUUGGGGACGGGUUUGAGACUUCGAGAUACUCAUCAAACUUCAGCCAGAGCUGGGUUUGUUUACUCCCAAGUAUGCGUUCUUCAUCUGGGUGUUUCUGAAACAAUACUAUGAAGGGCCUUUUAUGUUGUUUUUCUCCACUGAGCAAUUAUCGUUUUCCUUUUGAAUGCAUGCUGCUAUUUCCUCUGCAGGGCCGAGGUGGUGCCGGCCACAUCCCAGCAUACAGCCCUGGCAGAAAAGCAGUUAAAAUUGCACUUGAGCCUCUGCUUGUUCUUUUUUUUUUUUUUUUCAACGUUUAUUUAUUUUUUUUUGGGACAGAGAGAGACAGAGCAUGAACGGGGGAGGGGCAGAGAGAGAGGGAGACACAGAAUCGGAAACAGGCUCCAGGCUCUGAGCCAUCAGCCCAGAGCCCGACGCGGGGCUCGAACUCGCGGACCGCGAGAUCGUGACCUGGCUGAAGUCGGACGCUUAACCGACUGUGCCACCCAGGCGCCCCGAGCCUCUGCUUGUUCACCCUGUUUUCUAACUAGCAGGGGUGUUGCUGUUUUAUUUUGCUUUCGUCCUGGCAUUAGAAUUUGACCCUAAAUUCAGAGCCUAAAGAAAGUGGGCGGGUGCGGAGAUGCGUUUGCCUUGGCUUAGUGGGCCCUGCAGCCCCAGAAGUAUUUUUGUAGCCCUGAAAACUAACUCGAGGCCUGCUUUGGAAUGUCCAGAUGAUCAAUACUUCCAGGGACUUUUAAUAGAUUGGGAUUUUUCUCUUGCUCUGAAAUGGGUUAAAAUAUAAGGUGGGGGGCAGAAGAGUUCAAAUAAAUUUGCCAUUUGCAUUUUUAGUUAAUUAAAUGGUAAGCUUUUUUGUUAAAUGCCUGCUGUAAACCUGGCACUGUACUAGGAUUGGAGAAGAGGCUGGACCUGAAUGUCUCAUCGCUAAAUUACAGAAUUAUAGAAUAAGCAAAGUUACCUUUUGUUUAUUUCUCUUUCUCCUUUCAGUGCCUCUUGCUUCCUGCCUCUCAAACAGCUUUUCUUCCUCCUAAUUUCCUCCACAGUAGAUAUUCUGAGAGGUUAGUAAAUGACUUGUGUUUAAAAGCACGGUUCAGUGAAUUUAGAAAAAGCUACAUAAUAAUAAAAACAGUUUUUAUCAGGGCGCCUGGCUGACUCAGCCAGUAGAGCAUGCAACUCUUGAUUUUAGGGCUGUAAGUUUGAGCCCCGUGUCGGAUAUAGAGACUGCCUAAAAUAAAAUCUUUAAAAAAACACAAUCUUUGUGGACUGCUUCUGUGUUGCUGAGGUGCUAGGUGCUUUAUAUUCAUUACUUCAUUUAAUUCUCCCACUAAACCUAUGAGUUAGGGGCUCCUGUGAUCCUCAUUUUGUCUAAGUUACACAACCGGUGGGUGACAGAGAGUCAUUCCACUUCACCGGACAGUUUCCUGUUUAUUUUUUUUUAAUGUUUACUUAUUUUCGAGAGAGAGAGAGAGAGAGAGUGCAACAAGGGAAGGGCAGAGAGAGAGGGGGACAGAGGAUCUGAAGCAGGCACCUCGCUCACAGCAGAGAGACCGAUGCCAGGCUAGAACUCUCAGACCACAAGAUCAUGACCUGAACUGAAGUCGGGCACUUAACUGACUGAGCCACCCAGUUGCUCCCCUGCCCCCCAGGCAGUUUCCUUAAUGAGUCAGCCAUUCUCACCUCCACCAAACCCAAUCUAAGUAGGUUUCUUCACUGCAGGAGUUCUCAGUCUUUAGUAUGCUGUAGUGCCCGUGAGUCUCCAACAUGAGAAGGUAGUAGACUGUGGCUCUCUUACUUAUUUGUCUCCCUCUCUUAUUUUUUUUUCAGGGAGGAUCUUGAGAGAUUGGAGUUCGGCAAAACACAUUUUGGGAAAUAUUGGCCAAGAUAUUUGUAUUUUAGUUAACAACUUGGAAGAAGAGAACAACUUCAGGAGUGAUUCUACUAGUGUUUCAGAGACCCACAAAAUAAAAAAAAAAGGGGGGAAGAGUAAAUAUGAGGGCUUCCGGUUGCCUCUAAAUCACACUGUGUACCUUCUCAAUAGUUCUUCUUGCUUACAAGACUGGUGGACUUUUUGAACUUUGCUUUUCUGUUAUUAAAGAAACUAGACACAACAGUGGUCUUCUAAGGAUGAGUUAAGUUGUAUGGUGGAACACAUUUAAAAGGUUUGAAAGUGAAAAAUGGUUAGUCACAGUCAUAAAGUUCAACCAAGUUGCUGAGUCCUUACUGUGUCAAACACUGCGUUCUGCUGGGCUACCAAUAGAAUCAAAUGAAGAUACCCAGCCUGUUCUCCAGCACAGAAGGAUAUGCCAUUCCCAAGGCACUUUUGUUUGUGGGUGACAGACUUAAACUAGUACAAAUAAAGAGCAGUUUAUUGUAAAGAUCUGGUUCUUGCAGAAUCCAAGGAUAGGAUUUAAAGCUGAGUUGGCAUUUUGGCUCCUGGUAGGUCCUCAGGAAUGAAGUCUAUGCUGUGUUUCUGGGGCUGCAGGAUCUUUGACCUCUAUUCAUCUCGCAUGUCACAA